rnacentral:rRNA from 1 species
UACGGAGGGGGCAAACGUUGCUCGGAAUUAUUGGGCGUAAAGCGCACGUAGGCGGUCCAGCAAGUCGGGUGUGAAAGCCCUCGGCUUAACCGAGGAAGUGCAUUCGAAACUACAGGACUUGAAUACUGGAGAGGAUCGCGGAAUUCCCGGUGUAGAGGUGAAAUUCGUAGAUAUCGGGAGGAACACCAGUGGCGAAGGCGGCGAUCUGGGAAGAUACUGACGCUGAGGUGCGAAAGCGUGGGGAGCAAACAGG